UACGUAGGGUGCAAGCGUUGUCCGGAAUCAUUGGGCGUAAAGAGCGCGUAGGCGGCUUGUUACGUCGACUGUGAAAACCCGGGGCUCAACUCCGGGCCUGCAGUCGAUACGGGCUGGCUUGAGUGCGGUAGGGGAGACUGGAAUUCCUGGUGUAGCGGUGAAAUGCGCAGAUAUCAGGAGGAACACCGGUGGCGAAGGCGGGUCGCUGGGCCGAAAUUGACGCUGAGGAGCGAAAGCGUGGGGAGCAAACAGG
rnacentral:rRNA from 1 species